rnacentral:rRNA from 1 species
UACGGGGGGGGGCAAGCGUUGUUCGGAAUUACUGGGCGUAAAGGGCGUGUAGGCGGUCAGGUAAGUGAGAUGUGAAAUGCCCCGGCUCACCCGGGGACCGGCAUCUCAUACUGCUUGGCUUGAGUACGGGAGAGGAUGUGGGAAUUCCUGGUGUAGCGGUGAAAUGCGCAGAUAUCGGGAGGAACACCGGUGGCGAAGGCGGUUCUCUGGGCCUUACCUGACGCUGAGGAGCGAAAGCGUGGGGAGCGAACAGG